rnacentral:rRNA from 1 species
AAUCCCAAAAGCGGAGGAAAAGAAACCAACCGGGAUUGCCUUAGUAACGGCGAGUGAAGCGGCAAAAGCUCAAAUUUGAAAUCUGGCGUCUUCGACGUCCGAGUUGUAAUUUGAAGAAGGCGACUUUGUAGCUGGUCCUUGUCUAUGUUCCUUGGAACAGGACGUCAUAGAGGGUGAGAAUCCCGUGUGGCGAGGAUCCCAGUUAUUUGUAAAGUGCUUUCGACGAGUCGAGUUGUUUGGGAAUGCAGCUCUAAGUGGGUGGUAAAUUCCAUCUAAAGCUAAAUAUUGGCGAGAGACCGAUAGCGAACAAGUACAGUGAUGGAAAGAUGAAAAGAACUUUGAAAAGAGAGUGAAAAAGUACGUGAAAUUGUUGAAAGGGAAGGGCAUUUGAUCAGACAUGGCGUUUGCUUCGGCUUUCGCUGGGCCAGCAUCAGUUUUAGCGGUUGGAUAAAUCCUCGGGAAUGUGGCUCUGCUUCGGUAGAGUGUUAUAGCCCGUGGGAAUACAGCCAGCUGGGACUGAGGAUUGCGACUUUUGUCAAGGAUGCUGGCGUAAUGGUUAAAUGCCGCCCGUCUU